UACGUAGGUGGCGAGCGUUGUCCGGAUUUAUUGGGCGUAAAGCGCGCGCAGGCGGUGCGGUAAGUCUGUCGUGAAAUCUCCCGGCUCAACUGGGAGGGUGCGGUGGAGACUGCCGGACUGGAGGCACUCAGAGGCCGGUGGAAUUCCCGGUGUAGUGGUGAAAUGCGUAGAGAUCGGGAGGAACACCAGUGGCGAAGGCGGCCGGCUGGGGGUGACCUGACGCUGAGGCGCGAAGGCGUGGGGAGCGAACCGG
rnacentral:rRNA from 1 species